AUUGAACGCUGGCGGCAUGCCUUACACAUGCAAGUCGAACGGCAGCACGGGCAACCUGGUGGCGAGUGGCGAACGGGUGAGUAAUGCAUCGGAACGUGCCAUUGAGUGGGGGAUAACGUAGCGAAAGUUGCGCUAAUACCGCAUAUUCUGUGAGCAGGAAAGCAGGGGGACCGCAAGGCCUUGCGCUCUUUGAGCGGCCGAUGUCAGAUUAGCUAGUUGGUGAGGUAAAGGCUUACCAAGGCGACGAUCUGUAGCGGGUCUGAGAGGAUGAUCCGCCACACUGGAACUGAGACACGGUCCAGACUCCUACGGGAGGCAGCAGUGGGGAAUUUUGGACAAUGGGCGCAAGCCUGAUCCAGCCAUGCCGCGUGAGUGAAGAAGGCC
rnacentral:rRNA from 1 species